UGUCCUGGAACUAGUUCUUGUAGAUCAGGCUGGCCUUGAACUCACAGAGAUCGGCCUACCGCUACCUCUCGGAAUGUUGGGAUUAAAAUCCUGCACUACCACCUCCCGGCCUAAGCAGAUGUUUAAACUAUUUGUUUUUAACCGCAGGUCAUCUCUCUCACCUUCAACCCUUAGAUACCUAAACUAGCCCUCUUGGACCUUUUCCAGACAGUGGCUCCCCGAGUGUGGUUUCUGGGGGAGCACUAUUGAAAAUACAAACUCUAAAAUGCAGGGGUUUCAUCCCUGACUCAGGGGCUGGGCCCAACCUAUUAGAGCAAACGCCGCAGGUGAUGUUCUGGAGCCCUUCCGGUCGAGCCUACUGACCUAGGACCGUUUCUACAUCGACUACGGGUUAUAUUUUCAGUCCACAAAUCGGGGUUGUAAUUCCUAUCUCACCAUCACUCCACCACAAAGCUUGUACCCACUUGAGUGCUGUCGACGGAGCUGCACUGCACUUCACACCGAAACAAGAUCUGCCUCGCUCUCUAAGGAAGCCAAAGAUUGUUCCGCAAGAAUCUGAAGAUGACUAAGACAUAAAAAUUCAACAGCACCACCACCAAGGAAGACCUUCUCCUCUUUUAGGGCCUGAUAUAAACGAUAUACACAAGACCAAAACCUGUCUUCCUUGGCUUCCAUCUGAGCACUUAUUGGGCUGGUGGCGGUAACUCUCUGUGAGGUCACCCUCAAUGAGAAUCACCCGGAAAGGUUGAUCCUGCAAUUCCUUUAUCAGAGCAAGAAUAGACAUGGGUACAACAGUGACAUAUCCUAAACAAACACAGGAACAAGUUUC